rnacentral:rRNA from 1 species
AGCAUGUGGUUUAAUUCGAAGCAACGCGAAGAACCUUACCAGGUCUUGACAUCCCUGACAACCCGAGAGAUCGGGCGUUCCCCUUCGGGGGACAGGGUGACAGGUGGUGCAUGGUUGUCGUCAGCUCGUGUCGUGAGAUGUUGGGUUAAGUCCCGCAACGAGCGCAACCCUCGACCUUAGUUGCCAGCAUUCAGUUGGGCACUCUAAGGUGACUGCCGGCUAAAAGUCGGAGGAAGGUGGGGAUGACGUCAAAUCAUCAUGCCCCUUAUGACCUGGGCUACACACGUGCUACAAUGGGCGGUACAAAGGGUCGCGAACCCGCGAGGGGGAGCCAAUCCCAAAAAGCCGCUCUCAGUUCGGAUUGCAGGCUGCAACUCGCCUGCAUGAAGCUGGAAUCGCUAGUAAUCGCGGAUCAGCAUGCCGCGGUGAAUACGUUCCCGGGCCUU